GACGAACGCUGGCGGCGUGCUUAACACAUGCAAGUCGAGCGGAAAGGCCACUUCGGUGGUACUCGAGCGGCGAACGGGUGAGUAACACGUGAGUAAUCUGCCCUUGGCUUUGGGAUAGCCACCGGAAACGGUGAUUAAUACCGGAUACGACCACUUCUCGCAUGGGAUGGUGGUGGAAAGUUUUUCGGCCAGGGAUGUUCUCGCGGCCUAUCAGCUUGAUGGUGAGGUAAUGGCUCACCAUGGCUUCGACGGGUAGCCGGCCUGAGAGGGUGACCGGUCACACUGGGACUGAGACACGGCCCAGACUCCUACGGGAGGCAGCAGUGGGGAAUAUUGGACAAUGGGCGGAAGCCUGAUCCAGCAACGCCGCGUGAGGGAUGACGGCCUUCGGGUUGUAAACCUCUUUCGGUGGGGACGAAGCGCAAGUGACGGUACCCACUAAGGAAGCACCGGCCAACUACGUGCCAGCCGCCGCCGUAA
rnacentral:rRNA from 1 species